GAUUCAGGAGCUACACAAACUCAUACUGGAGGACUGUGGAUAGAUCAGAAACCGCUGUAAUGGUGGAUUUGGAAAUAGUCUGUGCUUGAGACCAGAGUGGUCUAAACUGAUGGAGAUGAAGUUGAAUAUGAGUCCUCUUUUACUCUCUUGUCACACUGGCUUUCAGUGUGUGUACCAAUGCCCAGGGUGUGUGCCCCAAUGCCCAGGGUGCACUUUAUCCAUUCGGAUCUGCUGCAGGGGACACUUUUAUGUCCGAUGAUAUGGUAUUUAAUGAGGCGACACCAGAUGUGUUUCUGUUACAGCCAUUCCCGUACUUCAAUCGCACAUAUCAACUCCUUGAAGUAAGUGUCUAUGGAGGCCUCUACAUUGGGACUUCGGAUGUAAUUGCACCCUUUACCACAAUUUUUGAAAUUAGGAGAGUUAGGCAAAGCAUUUCCUACCAGCAGUACACCUCAGGCGAUGUUCUUCACACUGCAACUCGAGACAUCAACUCUUACUUCCCCAACGUGACCUUCAUUGCCACCUGGGUGUUUGUGGCCACUUGGGACAGAAUGGUGUAUACAUACACA